UACAGAGGGUGCGAGCGUUGUCCGGAAUCACUGGGCGUAAAGGGCGCGUAGGUGGCGGCCCAAGUCCAUGGUGAAAGCUCGAUGCUCAACAUCGAGUCGGCCACGGAUACUGGGUUGCUCGAGCACUGUAGGGGCAGAUGGAAUUCCGGGUGUAGCGGUGGAAUGCGUAGAUAUCGGGAGGAACACCAGUGGCGAAGGCGGCGACCUGGGCCAAUAUUGACGCUGAGGUGCGAAAGCGUGGGGAGCAAACAGG
rnacentral:rRNA from 1 species